rnacentral:rRNA from 1 species
CGGGGGGGGCAAGCGUUGUUCGGAAUUACUGGGCGUAAAGGGCGCGUAGGCGGCCUGCUAAGUCACACGUGAAAUCCCUCGGCUUAACCGGGGAACUGCGUGUGAUACUGGCGGGCUUGAAUUUCGGGAGAGGGAUGUGGAAUUCCAGGUGUAGCGGUGAAAUGCGUAGAUAUCUGGAGGAACACCGGUGGCGAAGGCGGCAUCCUGGACCGAGAUUGACGCUGAGGCGCGAAAGCUAGGGGAGCAAACGGGAUUAGAUACCCCGGUAGUCCUAGCCCUAAACGAUGAGUGCUUGGUGUGGCGGGUAUCGAUCCCUGCCGUGCCGAAGCUAACGCAUUAAGCACUCCGCCUGGGGAGUACGGUCGCAAGGCUG